AUGGCCACUGCUAACACCUACGCCACUGUCUGCGGCAAAACCGGCAAGUACGCAGCCAACAGCACCUACCAACAGAAUGUCCAGAGUGUCACCACAUACCUCGUCAACGAGGCCGCCUUCAGUGGCGAGAAUGGCUUCGCGAAGACGUGGGAGGGCGCCGCCCCAGAUAGGGUUUAUGGCCUUGGCAUCUGCCGCGGGGACACGCCAGACAACGUCACCUGCUACGAGUGCCUGACCUCCGCCGCAGUAGAGGUGUCGACACUCUGCCCGGAUGACAAGGACGCCACACUCUUCUACGACGGCUGCAUCGUGCGCUUCUCCCACCAGGACUUCCUCUCCUCCGGACAUAACGAGCCGGAGGUCGUCGUCAAUGGCACGAACAAGGUGAACCCUGCGGCAGUGGCCAACAGCUUCGACGUGCUCGUGGACACGCUGAUGAACAAGACUGCAGAGCAUGCGGCGGCGGCGAGCGAUGCCUCUCACAGGAAGGUAGCCACCGGCGAGGCCUUGUUCGAUGGAGGCGAUUCGCAAACAAAGAUUUACAGCAUGGCGCAGUGCACGCCAGACCUGACGUCUGGCGGAUGCAUAAACUGCCUCCGGCUUGAGAUGGACAAAAUGGCCCUUAGGGUACCUGGCGUACUGGGACAGAGGGUGGCUGGGCUGAGAUGCAACAUACGAUUCGAGGUGUAUCCGUUCUAUAUCGGCGAGGCCAUGGUUCGUAUUGAAGGAACUCCGGCGCCAUCACCUGCGCCAUCAAAGUCGAGGCUGCCGGCGCCUCCUGCACCACCGAACCCUGCGAGUCAACCGAGCAAAGGAGGUAUCAAGAAUAUGAUCCGGAUAGUUGCAGUGAGUGCGCCUCUGGUACUUCUAUUAUGUUGCAUCCUUCUUACCAUUAUCUGGACUCAAUCAAGACGCCUUCAUAAGAGAAUCCUAAGCUCACAAUUGCAAGAAGUUUUCCCGCCUAGCACGGAGGAAGCUAUAAUGCUCUGGAGGAUGGAAGAGGGUCGCUCUGAGCUCUCGAUGUUUGAGUUCUCUCAGGUUAUAGAUGCCACAAACAACUUCUCAGAAGGAAAUAAACUUGGCGAGGGUGGUUUUGGUCGUGUCUACAAGGGCAUUAACAACAUCGUAUGA
rnacentral:rRNA from 1 species